rnacentral:rRNA from 1 species
UGGGUAUGUUAAUAGCAUAUUCAUUUUGACGUUUAGCUGCAGAAGAAGCACCGGCUAACUCCGUGCCAGCAGCCGCGGUAAUACGGAGGGUGCGAGCGUUAAUCGGAAUUACUGGGCGUAAAGCGCAUGCAGGUGGUUUGUUAAGUCAGAUGUGAAAGCCCGGGGCUCAACCUCGGAAUUGCAUUUUGAAACUGGCAAACUAGAGUACUGUAGAGGGGGUAGAAUUUCAGGUGUAGCGGUGAAAUGCGUAGAGAUCUGAAGGAAUACCGGUGGCGAAGGCGGCCCCCCUGGACAGAUACUGACACUCAGAUGCGAAAGCGUGGGGAGCAAACAGGAUUAGAUACCCUGGUAG